UACGGAGGGGGCGAGCGUUGUCCGAAGUUACUGGGCGUAAAGCGCGCGUAGGCGGGUUGGUAAGUCCGCUGUGAAAGCCCGGAGCUCAACUCCGGAGGGUCGGUGGAUACUGCCAGUCUUGAAGGUGCUAGGGGGAGAUGGAAUUACCGGUGUAGCGGUGAAAUGCGUAGAUAUCGGUAGGAACACCAGUGGCGAAGGCGGUCUCCUGGGGCAUUCUUGACGCUGAUGCGCGAAAGCUAGGGUAGCAAACGGG
rnacentral:rRNA from 1 species